UCUAGUAUUUUUGGUAGUGAUAAUUUAGUCGUAAUGUUAGCUUUAGUAUCCUACCGUUUCAAUCUUGUUAGUUAGGUGUUAUUUGCGCGUUUUAAUUUAGUCUAAUUGCAUUCGCAGAAUAACUUUUCAAACCCCCCCUCCCACUUUUUGUUAGACCUGAUUCUUUAUGCACACUAAAUGUUGGUCCUUGAGAGACGACCUAGGAGUCACUUCCUAGUCUAUACUGCAUUUCUUUAUGCACACUAAAUUUUGUAUGGGACGCGACACCCAUCAAUUCCUUUCAGUAGGACAAUGAUAUUUUGACAACUUUUUUGACAACGGGACACGUGUCAUCAUUUUAUUGGUCUAUUUGAAUUUAUGUUUAAAAAAUAUUUAAAAUGGACCAAUCACAAGCUGCCACGUAUGCGUUGUCAAAAAGUUGUUAAAAAAGUGUUGUUAAAAGAAGUUUUUCCCUUUUAGUAUUUGAACUUGCUUGUUUUCUUACUGUAUAGUAGCCUAACUAAUUAUAAUAAUAUAUUUUAAGAUUUAAAUGUUUUUCUUUUCUUUUGAUGAUAGAGAAUCUGAUGGAGAGAAAAUAAAUUUGUAUGCAAUGCAUUAUUUCUUUGGUUCGUUAGAGAGGCAGAAAGAUUAGUUCAUUGGUUCUUUAUUUAAGAAAGAGAAAAGUUUUUAUGGGGAUGUAACGAAAAGUGGUAGUGGAGAGAGAGUUUUUAUUUGGUUGAUCGUACAUCACUUUAGGAAGAGGGAGCAACAUUUUUGGCUUGCGUCCCGAUAUUUUAACACCAUUCCAUUUAACACCGUUUUGACACUACUACGUGUCAGGUCCUGAUUGGUUGAUUUUUUUUUAUUUUAAAAAUUUCAAAACUGGUUAAAAAAUUAGGAGCAGAUUUCAAAAUCUUAAUUCCUAUUUUGCCCUUGGGGUGUUUCAAUAGAGGGAAACGUUUUGCAGGGUUCUGAUUUCUCCAUCAUUUCACCGCCGUUGGCUCUCGAUUUGGCUGUUCUCGUCGUUCUCUAUCGUGUUCGUUUUGGUGUGCGCUUUCGUUGCCGGUGAGAGUGAGGAAUCGUCCUUGGUGGUUCUGUCUGAUUUGUUUGAUUUGGUGUUGUUCUCGUCGUUCUCUAUCGUGUUGGUUUUGUUGUUCGCUUUCGUUGCCGGUGAGAGUGAGGAAUCGUCCUUGGUGGUUCUGUCCGAUUUGUUCGAUUUCGUGUGGUUCGCUUUUGUUGUUCGCUUUCGAUUUUGUGGUUCGAAAUGGCAACUAAAUCUACUAAGGUAAGCGCCUUCA
rnacentral:lncRNA from 1 species